ACCCAGCAGACAGUGUGAGGAAGGUGAGACAAGUGGUCAGAAGAGCCCGUGCCCAGGGCGGGCUGCUGGCGGUGCAGGGACAGCAGGGCUGGGUUUCUAUGACAGCCCCAUCCCCACCAGGGCAGGACCUGCAGCCCAGCAGCCUUCUGGCAGCAAAGGGGGCUCAGGGACACCCAAGGACACCCAGGAACACCUCAGCACGGGUUUGCAGCGACCCAGCUGAGGGAUCCUUUGCCAAGACAGCACCUGGCACUGGAUUUGGAAGUACCAAGAGCCAUCAUGAAGAUGGAAGACCCCAGGAAAGCAGAAAGCAGCCCCUGCGCCACGAAGCUGUCGAGACAGGCCCCCCAAAAGUCCCCUAAGCUUUGGAAAAGUUAGUCCUGCAGAAACCGGGCCAAAAUGUCCAACUGUUUAUCUCUCGGUAACGAGGUUUGGUUCCCAUGGCAGCGCGCCCCGGGAUGGCUCCGCUCAGCUCACACAGCACCGAUGCCCGCCGGGGCCUCUCCAGAACACACAGCUCCUGCCACGGGCUGCACCCCGAGCUCUGCCAACACCUGCCCCCGCCGCCGCCCCAGCACCGCGGGCCCUGCCCUCCCCUCCCGUCCUGCCAAGCCCCGGCGCUGGUGACAGCAGGUGACAAUCACCAGCCGGUCUCAGGCACCUGCAGCCCUUCCUCAGCAGCGCCCUGCACCGUGGGGACGCUCAGGGGAUGAAGUGGGAAGGCAGAAAGGAGGCAGCAGGGGUGCUGGGAAGGCAAAGUGGGACCAGCAGCAUCGUCCUCCUCACAGCCAGGGGAGUCACGGCACCACCUGGGCUGUGCCAGCAACGUGGACUGGGGGGAAACACCCAUGGCGUUGUGUCCAAACGUGAGUCCACGCCAAGAACUGAUGUUUCACACUACAUUAAACCAAAAUAAAUCUUAUUUCUCUCUUUUUGA